UAUAUAUAAUGUAAACUAAAAAGCUGUCAUUUGUAAACUGGUGUUAUCUAAUAUUUUCGACACUUUGGACCGUUUAAGCGAAAAACUAUAUUAUACAUAAUUGUAAUAAUUGUGAGCACUUGCACUGACCAGAUUGUGCCUUUUAUUAGCUGCUAUUGUGAGGAGGUUACAGAGAUUACGUGCAGGUCAGCUAAAAACAAGCACAAGC